AUACUUACCUGGCAGGGGAGAUGCUAUGAUCAUGAAGGUGGCUCUCCCAGGGCGAGGCUCACACAUUGUGCUCAGGUGUGCUGAGCCCUGCGAUUUCCCCAAAUGUGGGAAACUCACCAGCCUAAUUUGUGCUAGUGGGGGACUGCGUUCACACUCCUCCCUA
ensembl:snRNA U1 U1 spliceosomal RNA